GACGAACGCUGGCGGCGUGCUUAACACGUGCAAGUCGAACGGAAAGGCCCUGCUUUUGUGGGGUGCUCGAGUGGCGAACGGGUGAGUAACACGUGAGUAACCUGCCCUUGACUUUGGGAUAACUUCAGGAAACUGGGGCUUAUACCGGAUAGGAGCUCCUGCUGCAUGGUGGGGGUUGGAAAGUUUCGGCGGUUGGGGAUGGACUCGCGGCUUAUCAGCUUGUUGGUGGGGUAGUGGCUUACCAAGGCUUUGACGGGUAGCCGGCCUGAGAGGGUGACCGGCCACAUUGGGACUGAGAUACGGCCCAGACUCCUACGGGAGGCAGCAGUGGGGAAUAUUGCACAAUGGGCGGAAGCCUGAUGCAGCAACGCCGCGUGCGGGAUGACGGCCUUCGGGUUGUAAACCGCUUUCGCCUGUGACGAAGCGUGAGUGACGGUAAUGGGUAAAGAAGCACCGGCUAACUACGUG
rnacentral:rRNA from 1 species